AGAUAAACCCCCGCCUUCACGCACUCCGUCGCGGGAGGACAAGGAGACUGCUGGUUCUAGCCUAGUUCAGUACAGUAUAUGUUGUGAGCGUGCUUCAGAUCUCCGGAGAUAGCACGGUACGCUGUGUUCAGCCCAGAGGUGAGAGUCAUUCAAAGCAAACUAACUGUGCUAUUGUGCCCAAGUUGAUACCUGUGGAGAGAAAAGGAGAGAGAGUGAAUAACACGAGGAGGAAUAGAGCGAACCCUGUACUUACAGUACGUUGUGUCCAGCCCAGAGGUGAAAGCCAUCCAAAGCAGAGUAACUGUGUUUUGUGUCCAAGUUGAUACCUGUAGAGAGGAGGAGAGAGAGUGGAUAACGCGAGGAGAAAUAGAGCGAAACCUGUACUUACAGUACGCUGUGUCCAGCCCAGAGGUGAGAGCCAUUCAAAGCAAACUAACUGUGCUAUUGUGCCCAAGUUGAUACCUGUGGAGAGAAAAGGAGAGAGAGUGGGUAACACGAGGAGAGACCGAGGAAACCUGUACUUACGCCGCUGCCUGUGGAGAAAGAGAAAGCGAGUGAGCACCCAAGGAACGAACUGUGUGAACCAGUACUUACUGUGAGCUGCAAUCAGCGAAGAGGUGAGAGCAAAACCAAGCCGAAUUAACUGUGCCUUGGCGUCCCAGCCGUUGCCUGUGGAGGAAGAGAAAGAGAGUGAGCACCCCGAGAACGAACUGUGUGAACCAGUACUUACCGUGAGUUGUAUUCAGCGAAGAGGAGGAAGAAGGAGGGCGCUACGGAUACCUAAGACUCUGGCCGGGCCCCGAGUCCCACGCCCCGGAUCCCCGUGGCCCCCUUGCUCCCUGACCUCUUCCCGGCCAUAGCCCAUCUGGAGGGCCGAGUCAGAGUUUAGUUUUAAUUGCCCUUUCCCUAUUCCCCAAGCUAUUUUUAAAUAUUUAAAUAAAGAUUGUUUUAUCACUUA